UGGGGAAUAUUGGACAAUGGGCGCAAGCCUGAUCCAGCCAUGCCGCGUGAGUGAUGAAGGCCCUAGGGUUGUAAAGCUCUUUCACCGGUGAAGAUAAUGACGGUAACCGGAGAAGAAGCCCCGGCUAACUUCGUGCCAGCAGCCGCGGUAAUACGAAGGGGGCUAGCGUUGUUCGGAUUUACUGGGCGUAAAGCGCACGUAGGCGGACUUUUAAGUCAGGGGUGAAAUCCCGGGGCUCAACCCCGGAACUGCCUUUGAUACUGGAAGUCUUGAGUAUGGUAGAGGUGAGUGGAAUUCCGAGUGUAGAGGUGAAAUUCGUAGAUAUUCGGAGGAACACCAGUGGCGAAGGCGGCUCACUGGACCAUUACUGACGCUGAGGUGCGAAACGCGUGGUGAGCAAAACAGGAUUAGAUACCCUGGUAGUCCACGCCCGUACCGAUGAAUGUUAGCCGUUGGGGAAGUUUACUCUUCGGUGGCGCAGCUAACGCAUUAAACAUUCCGCCUGGGGAGUAC
rnacentral:rRNA from 1 species